rnacentral:rRNA from 1 species
AUUGAACGCUGGUGGAAUGCUUUACACAUGCAAGUCGAACGGCAGCACGGACUUCGGUCUGGUGGCGAGUGGCGAACGGGUGAGUAAUGUACCGGAACGUGCCCAGUCGUGGGGGAUAACGUAGUGAAAAUUACGCUAAUACCGCAUACGAUCUAUGGAUGAAAGCGGGGGAUCGCAAGACCUCGCGCGAUUGGAGCGGCCGAUAUCAGAUUAGGUAGUUGGUGGGGUAAAGGCCCACCAAGCCAACGAUCUGUAGCUGGUCUGAGAGGACGACCAGCCACACUGGAACUGAGACACGGUCCAGACUCCUACGGGAGGCAGCAGUGGGGAAUUUUGGACAAUGGGCGAAAGCCUGAUCCAGCCAUUCCGCGUGCAGGAUGAAGACCCUCGGGUUGUAAACUGCUUUUGUACAGAACGAAGAGGUUUCUACUAAUACUAGGAGCUCAUGACGGUACUGUAAGAAUAAGCACCGGCUAACUCCGUGCCAGCCGCCGCAGUAA